AGCUGAUUGGAUGGAUACCGAUUUGAGCGGGAGAGUAGUUGCUGUUGACACGAAUGGUUAUCUAAAGUUUGCGUACGCAGGUCAUCAAGAUUUACAACCAUUCUUUCCUCAUGGUAUCGCCAUUACACCAAGUGAUAAUAUCAUACUCUCGGAUCAAAGUAACAAUGCAUUACACGUUUUGAAUUCCAAAGGAGAACUCCUCGGACUACAUCUAUUAGAUAGCAUAUUACAUAUUAAAGCACCUUUAUCGCUGUGUUUUGACCAUGAAGGACAUUUGCUAAUUGGAAGUGGGAAGUUGGACAACAGUAACGCAAUGAUAUAUAUGACAAAAGUGGCGAAAAAGUUCAUUUAAAUAGGACAAG
rnacentral:lncRNA from 1 species